rnacentral:rRNA from 1 species
GACGUAGGGCGCGAGCGUUGUCCGGAUUUAUUGGGCGUAAAGAGCUCGUAGGCGGUGUGUCACGUCGUUCGUGAAAACCUGCAGCUUAACUGUGGGCGUGCGGUCGAUACGGGCAUCACUGGAGUUCGGCAGGGGAGACUGGAAUUUCCUGGUGUAGCGGUGAAAUGCGCAGAUAUCAGGAGGAACACCGGUGGCGAAGGCGGGGUCUCUGGGGCC